rnacentral:rRNA from 1 species
CCGCGGUAAUACGAAGGGGGCUAGCGUUGUUCGGAAUUACUGGGCGUAAAGCGCACGUAGGCGGGUUUGUAAGUAGGGGGUGAAAUCCCAGGGCUCAACCCUGGAACUGCCUUCUAGACUGCAAGCCUGGAGGUCAGGAGAGGCGAGUGGAAUACCGAGUGUAGAGGUGAAAUUCGUAGAUAUUCGGUGGAACACCAGUGGCGAAGGCGACUCGCUGGACUGAUACUGACGCUGAGGUGCGAAAGCGUGG